CUGACUAUAAUUUUCCAAAGCCCUUCUGGAUUGCAUGCUCCUGCACCAAUUUUUGGCUCUUGAAUUUGUCUAUCUUUUGUGGAUUCCUAAAAACUCCCCUUCCCUGAUCUUCAAAUCUCAACAGAUGCUCUAAAAGAAUAGUUUUUGGUGUUUGAUUAUAGUGGAUUUGAUGUUUUUGUGUGAAUGCACCAACAAGAUGUGGAAUUGAAUGAAUAGAUCAAAGUGUAGAAAGUUUUCACUCAAGUGAAGCAGUGGCAAAAAGUUAGCUGAGGACUCUCUGCUUUUAACGCUCGAGCAAUCACUUAGCGAGCAGCUAGCGAAACUUUGAUGAUACUUCUUGCCUUACUUCACAACUCAAACCUUAACAUACUUUGAUAAAAUUGUAACUUAGUCCACAACUUUUACACAUAUACAAAUUGACCCCAAACUCUUGAACAAUUACUAAUUGACCCUUUUGAUAAUAGAAUAGCCAACACAAAAUCUAACAUAGUUGAAUAUUCAAAUUUAAUUAAGAGUUAGUAUUAAAUAUGGUAUUGUGGAUAACAUAAUGGUUUAUGCUAGUCUUAACGUAAAACCAAAAACCACAUGCAAAACCUAGUUCUGACCCGAAGGAAACUCCUAAUCUUUGUCUCUCUCAUUUUUUUCCCCACCCAAAUAAAGUACAGCAAUCUUGAAUAACACAUUAAAUCAUCAUAUCAUCUAAAAAUUAAAAUUUUAUUUUGUUAAAAAGGAGGAGAAUUUAUUUAAAACUUAAAUACCAAUUAAACACGAUAUAAGGGCAUGAUUACUAUGGAUAGUAAAGACACUACAAUAAACAAAAUUGUAACUUCCUUUUAUUUUGUAAUGCCUCUAGGAAUGCAUUGACUGAAUUAUAUAGGGUGCCCAACUCCCACCCUCUGCUCACAC
rnacentral:lncRNA from 1 species